rnacentral:rRNA from 1 species
UUAAAUUGAAGAGUUUGAUCAUGGCUCAGAUUGAACGCUGGCGGCAGGCCUAACACAUGCAAGUCGAGCGGAAACGAGUUAUCAGAACCUUCGGGGGACGAUAACGGCGUCGAGCGGCGGACGGGUGAGU